rnacentral:lncRNA from 1 species
UGUGUUGUCAUAGAGAACGAAAGGGAACCAUAGCGGCAAAACAGAAAUGAUGUCACGACAAUAUUCCGGUCCCGAUACUCGAUGAGAUACCGGUGCCAACGAAUUGGGAGCGUGAGCGUAUCAUGCCAAAGAAUGAUGGGGUGAUCCCGGUUACCGGUUUCCCAUGUGUCGGGGUACGGCAAAAGAUGGACAACAUGCAACUAGCAUGGCAUCUACGAAACGGACAACAUCGCACCUCUUACAACAAUGCAUACAGCUCCGGGUGGUCGUCUCGUUGAUUUUACCUUUGAAGCGUGCGUUCGGAGUGGAACGGGUCAUUGCAGUGUAGUUGAACAUGAGUCGUCAUGGACGUCGUGGAAGUAGUGGUAUUCGAGAUCUUAUCGACGGUAGUCGUACACUUGACGUAGUGGUACUCGACCGGAUCGAAGGCGACGAUAGUUAUGUCCGGGAUCUUGAGUGGCGGGAUACUAUGUGGCUUCCGGGUCUUGCGGUGGGGUCAAGCCAAUGCGAAGGUGCGCCUGCUCGUGGUAGUUGGGCUCGGCCGAAUGGACAACAAAAAAGUCGAUGCAGUUGACCUAGUCCAACUGGGUCGAAGCGAGAGGUGCACAGGGGAGUCACGUGCACAACGCACUACCAACGACGGGUAGACUCAGGUGGCCACAGCCGUGACGCUGUGAGGCAACACGGAAGGUGAGGUCCGGCCUCAGCGCUGGCCGGCCAAAGUAGCAGAGAGGCGAGUGAGGGUGCGGCGCUAGGGUUGUGGGGCCUCUUAUUCUCUGGAUCGGCCGCUGUGGAAGGUCAGGGACGAGGCCACGAGGCCCAUGGCUGGGCCUCCUUGCGUCCAUGGCGGCAUGACCAGCGGGUGAGGCACGGGAUACGAUAGCAGGUCUGGCACAGCGGGAGAGAGGCAGGGCCGAGGAGGGGUGCAGCACGCGCGGCGGGGAUGGGGCUGCCGGAUCCGAGGCGACGCGGCAGAGGAUUUGGCAAGGCUCACGAUCAGAGGAGGCCGACUCCUGUGGGUCGCGGAUGCGGCAUGGAGGAGGUCGCGCGUAGGGAGACGGGGCUCAAUGGAAGGAGAUUGAGGCAGCCAUGGGUGGCGCAGGGCUCCGGCGGCGCGGUGCAUGGCUGCGUGGUCGAGCGCGAGGGAGCUCGGCCCAGGUGACGCUGAGCGCGGCUCCUGCUGGCUACGGACGGUUGCGGGCAAGGCGAUGCGGUUAGCCAGAUGGUGAAAACGAGGUGGGGCUGCGGAGCUCUCGGGAGGAGGGGCGGAUCGAGGUAGAGGCUAGGGUUAGGUUAGGAUUAGACUACAUUCAUAUACAAAUAGACACUACUUCUAAAUACGGUCUAUUUGGCCCUCCGAUCUAAAUCAAACGAUCACGUAAAAAAUAGGCUAGGGUAUCCUAUUGAAAAAGUAAAGACGGUUUGCGGUAAAACGGGUUGAUCCGGACCCAAUGGUCACGACCGUACUUUUGGGUCCG